rnacentral:rRNA from 1 species
GGCCGCGGGAAUUCCUUUAGGCCUAACACAUGCAAGUCGAACGGAAAGGCCCUGCUUGCAGGGUACUCGAGUGGCGAACGGGUGAGUAACACGUGGGUGAUCUGCCCUGCACUUCGGGAUAAGCCUGGGAAACUGGGUCUAAUACCGGAUAGGACCAUCGUUUAGUGUCAGUGGUGGAAAGUUUUUCGGUGCAGGAUGAGCUCGCGGCCUAUCAGCUUGUUGGUGGGGUAAUGGCCUACCAAGGCGUCGACGGGUAGCCGGCCUGAGAGGGUGGACGGCCACAUUGGGACUGAGACACGGCCCAGACUCCUACGGGAGGCAGCAGUGGGGAAUAUUGCACAAUGGGCGCAAGCCUGAUGCAGCGACGCCGCGUGGGGGAUGAAGGCCUUCGGGUUGUAAACUCCUUUCAACCAUGACGAAGCAUUAUGUGACGGUAGUGGUAGAAGAAGCACCGGCUAACUACGUGCCAGCAGCCGCGGUAAUACGUAGGGUGCGAGCGUUGUCCGGAAUUACUGGGCGUAAAGAGCUCGUAGGUGGUUUGUCGCGUCGUCUGUGAAAUUCCGGGGCUUAACUCCGGGCGUGCAGGCGAUACGGGCAUAACUUGAGUGCUGUAGGGGAGACUGGAAUUCCUGGUGUAGCGGUGAAAUGCGCAGAUAUCAGGAGGAACACCGAUGGCGAAGGCAGGUCUCUGGGCAGUAACUGACGCUGAGGAGCGAAAGCAUGGGUAGCGAACAGGAUUAGAUACCCUGGUAGUCCAUGCCGUAAACGGUGGGCGCUAGG